rnacentral:ncRNA from 1 species
ACUACUUGAGGUGGGAAAGGUACUCCACGCGCUACCAGUUUGGUAGUUACCAGAGUUCCCGGAACGGCCGCCCGGGCAGGUAGU